AAACAUCCUUGACCUUGAGGAGAGUGUGCCAAUUUCCGCAAUUUCCGCAGCUAAAUGUUGACGGAAGCAAAAGUGUCUCAAUUGAAUGCAGCGCUACCAAUACCAGAGCAGCAUCUCUAUAAAUAGCACGCCAAUGCAAGUUUUUUAGGAGUCACGCGACAAUAGUGAUGAGAAAUGUCUUAUUAAAACACAUACAAUAACACAAUUAUACAAAUAAUUUUAGCUCCCCAACAGCUGGCGUACUACAGCUAGACAAUCUGCCAUCUCCAAUUCUAGUGUUGGUAAACGUUGUCCCGCCUACAUAUAGUUUAAAAAAGUUUAUGUUAACAUAAAUUAGAUAAAUUUGACUAAAGAUUUGUGCUGUACGAGCUAGAACCACUUUCAUAAGGUCAACUUUCAAGACUGAAUUCUAAAUGUCUUAUAAAUAAUUAUAGAAGCCCAUGUAGAUGAUGGGUAAGUUACACGUAAAUAUUUUGAGUAGUUCCAAAAACAACCGACAGGCGAACCUCUCUUUAAAUGAUAGUACAAAUAUGUAAAAAUAAAAUGAAGAGCUAUUUAUUCCCACA